UACGUAGGGGGCUAGCGUUGUCCGGAUUUAUUGGGCGUAAAGAGCGUGUAGGCGGCCAUGUAGGUCCGGUGUGAAAACUCGAGGCUUAACCUCGAGAUGUCAUCGGAAACCAUUUGGCUAGAGUCCGGAAGAGGAGAGUGGAAUUCCUGGUGUAGCGGUGAAAUGCGCAGAGAUCGGGAGGAAGGCCGGUGGCGAAGGCGGCGCUCUGGAACAUACCUGACGCUGAGACACGAAAGCGUGGGGAGCAAACAGG
rnacentral:rRNA from 1 species